GACGAACGCUGGCGGCGUGCUUAACACAUGCAAGUCGAACGGAGAAUUUAUUUCGGUAAAUUCUUAGUGGCGAACGGGUGAGUAACGCGUGGGCAACCUGCCCUUCAGAUGGGGACAACAUCCCGAAAGGGGUGCUAAUACCGAAUACGAUCACGCUGCCGCAUGGCGGUGUGAUGAAAGAUGGCCUCUAUUUAUAAGCUAUCGCUGAAGGAUGGGCCUGCGUCUGAUUAGCUAGUUGGUGGGGUAACGGCCUACCAAGGCGAUGAUCAGUAGCCGGUCUGAGAGGAUGAACGGCCACAUUGGGACUGAGACACGGCCCAAACUCCUACGGGAGGCAGCAGUGGGGAAUAUUCCGCAAUGGACGAAAGUCUGACGGAGCAACGCCGCGUGAGUGAUGAAGGUUUUCGGACUGUAAAGCUCUGUUGUUUAGGACGAAAGUGCCUGCUGCAAACAGUUGCAGGUAUUGACGGUACUGAACGAGGAAGCCACGGCUAAC
rnacentral:rRNA from 1 species